rnacentral:rRNA from 1 species
UCGACGAGUUUGAUCAUGGCUCAGAACGAACGCUGGCGGCAGGCCUAACACAUGCAAGUCGAGCGCCCCGCAAGGGGAGCGGCGCACGGGUGAGUAACGCGUGGGAAUAUGCCCUGGGGCUGGGGAUAACGGCGGGAAACUGCCGCUAAUACCCGGUACGCCAUGAGUGGGAAAGGAGCAAUCCGCCCUGGGAGUAGCCCGCGUUGGAUUAGCUAGUUGGUGUGGUAAGAGCGCACCAAGGCGACGAUCCAUAGCUGGUCUGAGAGGAUGAUCAGCCACACUGGGACUGAGACACGGCCCAGACUCCUACGGGAGGCAGCAGUGGGGAAUAUUGGACAAUGGGGGCAACCCUGAUCCAGCCAUGCCGCGUGAGUGAAGAAGGCCCUAGGGUUGUAAAGCUCUUUCGCACGCGACGAUGAUGACGGUAGCGUGAGAAGAAGCCCCGGCUAACUUCGUG